UCUUUGGUCGGAGCGGGACGGCCACCAGAGCGGCUGGGUAAGGGGCGGGUGUCGAGGAGCGAGGGACGCACGUUCAGAAAUAGGAACUGCUUAUCAGGGCACCGUUUUCUAAGUGGGCCCAGGGCUUUCUAUUUUAAAAGUGCAUUUGCCCCCCGAGCAGGCGCCUCACGGUGGGCGCGGAGCCCGAGGUGGGACCCGAACUCGUGAACCGCAAGGUCACAACCUGAGCCUGAAACCAAGAGUCUGAUGCUUCAUUGGCUGAGCCACCAGGCGCCGCUCUGCAAAUCAAUUCCGAUGGCAACUAGGGGAAGACCAUUGUGACUUUGAAACUUGGUCCGGGGGGACUGAGCUGAAGACCACCAAGACACUGCACACAGACCACCCACUGCAGAGUCUUGCACGGAUCUGCUGGCCAGUCUCGCAGUGAUACCGCAAGGCACCCUAAGCCACGUUUUGCAGGGUGAGCGGAAGAGUGAGAGCAGGUGUUGAAAAGCCAUGAAAAAAAAAAAAAGAAUUAAAACCAAAAUGUGCCUCAGGCUCAUUUCAGCUGGCAGCAGAAUUCUCUCUCUCUUUCUUUUGAAUUUGGUGUUAUUACAGGCAUCGACACUGAAAUACCAGAAGUCUCGGGGGCCAGAGCACUUGGUCAGUCUGGAGGUGGGCUUCUCGUGAGCCCCCUGUAAAUCCGUGGAGGAGUGCAUGUGGAGGAAGAGAGAUGAGGGGGCCGCUCCAGGAAAGGGUGUACCCUGGAUGUGAGCUCCUGGGGACCCAGGAGACGCUGGCGUUGCGUAGAUGCAGCUGGGAGCUGGUCACCUGGGCGUGAAUCAUAGAAUCAUUCUGAGGAUUAAAUCAGCAAGCGCGUACAGGAUGCUUUGGCUUGUGCCCGGCCUGUGCACCUGUGCUCGGGAAAUAUUCGCUGUUGUGACUGUUUCUUUCCCGGGCAAAGCGAUACCAUCCUCUCUCUGCAGAAUGAGAAACUGAUGUCAGAGGAGAGGCACCGUUGUGGGUAGGGAGGAACUUCUGGGCUCACUUAUCCUCUUUCCUUUUUCUCGUUUCAGUUCUCCGCUCUUCGUCCUUGUUAGAAGGCCCCACAAGUUGAGUUUAAACUGGGGACUUCUCCAGUGCUGUUGAAUUCACGGAGUGUGUGCGCCGGCCGGCCGUGGCCGGUGCCGCCUUCGACGGGGAAAGGGAAAGCACUCCUGAGGGUUUAAGGGCGAAAGUUGGGAGAAGGGAAGGAGAAAAAAGACAGGCCCAAGUUGAAGGUGCUUAACGUCUUCCGAUGUUGAGCAGAAGUGUGAACAGCGACAGUUGAGUCCAAGGUGGGGGCUUCCGUGCUUCUCUUCCUUGGAACCCCACCUGCUCUCGCUGCCGCAUCUGGGCCACCAGGUGGGAGCCCGUGUGGCUGGGCAGUGAUGGCAGACCGCGUCUGCUGCUGGGUGCAGGGAGGCGCCCCCUCUUGCCACCACCCUUCCUCCCUGUUCUUCAGCCCCCUUCCUUCCACUCGCUUCUGCUGACGCGUGAGGGGAAACGGCGUCAUCCCGUGAAAAGACAGGGUGGCCGUUGGCCACUGGCCAACCGCCGCGACCCGGGGCCGCGCUGUCAGCCACCGAGAGGCGGACCCGGAGGCAGAGAGGGAAUGAACGCUUUCGGCGGAACUUUGACCUUCGCGAUUCUCUUUGCGCUCUGUCCCCUCCCUCCCCUCCACGGCUCCAGGUAGUUGACUCUCCUGUGACAAGCCUGAGGAACAAGUCUGUCAGGAAAGAGCAUGGGGAGAAACCAGAUUGGGGAAAUUGCUUUCGGGACACAAGGUCCCCGCAAGCAGAGGCUUGUCCCCCGCCAGCGUCCUCGCGGUUGAUGUGCGUCCGGGUGUGGGAAGUUGGAGGGAAUUGCAUACACGCUCCAUUACAAGUAUCCCCCCGCUGCGUGCUGAGGGCCCCGGGUGGGGUCCCCGAAGAUGCACGGCCGUGGGGAUGAGAUCAGGGUGGGGUGAGCAGACAGGUUAUUGAAGUUGAACUGGGGGCUGAAGAGCAGAGAGCGCUGCAGGAGUUCUCCCCUUGUUCCCCUUGUUGCUUUUUUUUCUUUUUUCUUUUUCCUUUUCUUUUCCAUGAGAGAAUCAGAAAGGUCCCAUCUGCCUUUUCGGGGAGGGUCAUGCUUGGUGACUGGUAGCAUCUGGGGUAGGGUCCGGUUCAUUAUGCCACCCAGAAUAUCAAAGCGGUUUAGGCGUCGGAAACCAGGGAAGGAGGAAGGGAUUUAAAAAAAAAAAAAAAAAAAACAACAGCCCGGCCGCCAAUCGGGGGCUCUCUGUCUGCUGUCUGCCGGCUGCUGCUACCCACUCGUUACAAUUAAAAUGAAGUGUCCGUCAGCGGCUAUCUUCUCUGUGUGGCCCAUAUGUUUCUGAGCUGAUACUGUCCGGAUUAUUCUGUUCGGGAAAACGAUAACGGCUGUUUAUAACCUUGGCAAAGACUGAGGCCUAAUCAGGCUGGAGCACAUUUUCACCAACUGGCUGAUAACAGGCUGUUAGCAGCCUUAUCGCUGGGGAGAGAUAGGCCAAAAUAAGCAGAUCUGUGAGCACAGGAGCCCAAUCGAGUGGUACACACUCUGGCCCCGGCUUUAUUUUUAGAUUCCCUUUUCCCGGUUUGAUAUCAGAAGGCGCAGAGGAAGGGAGGGGGGGCGGGGAGCACCGUGUGCCCCCGCGGGAUGUUAAUCAACAUGAGAGGCAGAGGGUCAGCCCGGCUUCCAGCGCUCAGGGCGCCGUUCAAAUGAGGGAAAACACAUGCAGGUCUUGGGAGACAAAGGAAGGCGAGGGGCUGGCCUGGUGUGUGGGCCCUGAUGGCUUAGCAUCUUCCCGCCGUUGGGAGUCUCCAUCUGGAUCAUCUGGAUCGCCAGGCCUAGGUGCUCGGUUCUUCCCCCAUCCUCCCCUGCCGCAGGGACUGACUUUUGCUUUCUGUCUUAAUCCACUUUGCUGGGGCGUCUUCGUGGCAUUCCUCCAGAAUGACAUUCCCUGCCCAAUUCAUCAUCCUCACACUGGCUUAGAGACCACACAGUGGGUUGGGGGGUGAGAGGAACACAGGCAGGCCCCCCCACCCCCCCAAGCGUGGAGAGAGGACAUGGAGGGAGGCUCAGGGAAGUCUAGAGCCUGAGACACCGUGACCUCAUGGCUUAAUAGCUGGUACUCAGCCCCCAGGGAGAAACUGUUGGUUUUCAGAGAGGGGUAGGUUUCCGGCAAAGCCUUCAAGGAAGAGCCCUUCGAACUUGUCCCUCUACGGAGAUGGAUAAAAGCCAGAUCUAUAGCUUUUGCUCCUAGACCCAACUCUCUGAAACAGGUUACACCUGGGCCUUGACAUAUGUGUGGUUCUAGAACAGUUACAGAUUUGAGACAAAAAGAUACUACGUGAGGUCGUCAAGCAUGUGGUGAAAAUAAAAUGUAGGGGGGAGGCUAUAAUAGUGCUGGGCAGCAGAUGCCAUAAGCAGAAGGGAAGUUUGAAGGUAUUGUUUGCCGAAGACAGUGGAAGUCUGGAAGUCUGGUAUUUUUUUUCUCUGUUCAUUCUGCAGAAAUCUUCCUAGCCUAAAGCGCAUUAGGCAUUUUAUUUUAUUUUUUUCAAUGUUCAUUUAUUUUUGAGAGAGAGAAAGACAAGAGUGUGAGCAGGGGAGAGGAGAGAGAGAGAGGGAGACACAGACUCAGAAGCAGGCUCCAGGCUGAUGCGGGCUCGAACCCACGAACCGUGAGAUCGUGACCUGAGCCGGAGUGGGACUCUUAAUCUACUGAGCUACCCAGGCGCCCCAUGGCAUUUUAGUCUCUACUCUGCUUCUGUCUGUCUGUCUGUCUCCAUCUCUCUUCUCUGCUUUCUUCCUCUCCUCUUCCUGCUCUCUGUGCAGCUGCCCAAUUCCCGACUCACUUUUGUCUGCCUAAGACUGAGUGAGUGGAGUCAGGUGGCGGGAAAGAGGGGCCAGGGGACCGGUGCCUGGGGGGGGGGAGAGGGAGGGAAGCAUUUUCAGGGGCACACAGAUCCAAGUAAGCACAGAAGGCAGCAGAGAGCAUUAUCACCAUUAUCAUGCAAAUCUAUUUACAAGGCUCCUUUUAUUCAUUAAUCUUUGAAUAGCAGAACCUUUGGAACCGCCUGAAAUAAGAACCACCUGUGUGUCUACCACUGAAAAAACAAAAACAAAAAAUGAGUUUUAAGGACAAUUGAUACGUGGGAGCAGGAAGGGAAAAAUUAAGUAGAAAUCUCUCCAUCAUUUAGAUCUCCACAUAUAUGAUUUUAUAGCUCCCGUGUUGCAAAAUGGCCAGCUGAUUCGCAGUUUUGGAGACGUCCCCCCCAAGUUCAGAGAAAACCUCUGGGGAGGGUCGGAAAUGUAAUGAAAUUAUUAAACAGUCUGUUUCUAAAAAUCCACUUGGAGGUUCUUCGACGCCGACUUUUAUUCUCCUUUUUUGGAGAUAAUACAUAAUAAUAUACAAUGUAAUCAAUGGGAUAUAAAUGAUUUGGGUUAACGUUUCAGAGGCACUGGUGAACUCAACAUAAAGGGAUCUUUUUCAGUAUCUUCCCUGAAUUCAUAGUAAUAUAAUAUAAAAAUCUAAAGCUGGAAGAGACCUUGCAUAUGAUCUAGUUCAGUCCUCUCACUGUCUAUUAAACCUUUAAUUAAGAGUUCUUUACACGUAGUCCAAGUCCCCAUUUGUCACAUCGCACGUAGACUGGUUACAUUAUCUUUGGAGCAGUUAUUCUUACAGGGGGCAACAUAGCUCUUGCAAACACUUAUUACCCUGUGUUAUAGGCAAUUAGCAGGGGCUGCAGGGAGAUGUAGGGAAGGGCUCCAGCUUUCUCUGCCACUGUUGCUAAGAUGGCAGAAUACCAGGUAGAAAGUCCACAGAAGAGAACGUAUCCCACCUCGGGCUACGCACCUUCUAAGAAAAAAUACAGCCAUGUCAAUGGAAUGGAAUGGCUCCCGUAUUCCUUUCGGUAGGACUUUAUAUCAGCGGAGUAACCAUUGUCAUUUAAAUCCCCUCCCUGAGAGAUUCUAACUCCCAAACAUUAUUGGUCAUGUGUGUUCGAGUCAUGGAAUCUUAGAGCUGGAGGGACCCACUCUAAAGAAUUAUCUCCUCGUUGUGGAGAUGAGGAAAUUGAAACCCCAGGGAGGGGCAUCUGCCCCGUAAGCCUGAACUGGGGGCUCCGACUAGGGAUGAGGAGAAUGGUCCUGCCUUCUAGCCCAGUGCUUUUUCAUCUUUAUGAUGACCUUACAGGAUGACUUAGUUGUGGGAUGAAGAAUUUAAAAUACAUCCCUGAACUCUCCAUGCCACUGUUUACUCCUCUGUAAAAUGAGGCUUGUGAUUCCCCGAUUGAUCUUGUAAGUUCCUCGAGAGCUGGGACCGUGCCGACCAUUCCCGUGUUUCCCAAGACACCAGCUCUCACCUCUCUCUGCAUGUGGAGCUGCUCAAGAGAUGUUGACUGUUGAAUAGUGGAGUGAGUGAACGGAUGAAUAGGACUUUGAAUUGGACUUCUCCAGUGAUGACUCUUUCACGAAAUGAUUUUUCUAAGUUGUGUGCACCUUCCCAGCUUCGCAUUUCUUAAAUCUCUUUCAGCAGAAACAGUGAAAAAUGGUGACGGGAUCUUGGGCGGUUCUGAUGACAGACCUCUGGGUCCUGCAGAGGCCCGAUUAUAAUCAGGGAAUUUUUGUUGGUGUGUGUUUGCCUUGCGGUUGGUUGUUCACGAAGCCUUGGGGAGACCCCGUGCUCCUGAGGGUCAGUUGACUUUGGGUUCUCAGCAACAGGAGUCCGGUGCGUUCUUGAGUUGUCCAGGAACCUCCUCCAGUUGUGUUGCUGUGGGAUCUUUCCAUGUCUCCCGGUGAUGGACGGGGAACGUCACCCCGGGUGGAGACCUUAUUUAACUUGCUCUUUUCUAGUGUCUAAAUAACACCUGGGUCCCAGGAGGUACUUGAUGAGUGGGUGAGUUAAACGUAGGUAUGUCUACUUUUGCUUCACUGGCCCAGGCCUUCAAAGCGAGAGGCUGGAUUGAAAGCCUGUGGAUUAUCGGAGUCUGUUCCUCUGACUCAGAAAUCCUGGCCGGGAUACGCUUUUCCCCUCGAAGCAUAAAUUCUGUCAGUCAGUUAAAAAUCUGUAUCUUGGGACCUUCACUCACCCUACCUACCAGGGCCCUUUGUAUACCAGGCUCCUUUCCUCAUCACCCUGAGAUGACUACACACAGAGGCAGACUCUCCACACAGACUUUGAAGGCCGCCGUUCAGAGGGUCCAACUCCAAGGCAGAGAGAUUACUUGGGAGUUGGGGGGCCGGGGGUGGGUAUAACAAAACUGCAGUUCUCUGGAAUCUUACUUGCUUCUCAGAGGCACGUGACUGGCAUAUUUGGGUCAUUACAUAGAAAGACAUUCUGCGUAUGAGUUAUGCCAGCGAGAUGUUUCCAGAUCACAUGACAACGGUGUGUGUGGUGACUGCCAAGUGGUGUUUCUCUGCGCAGGACUCUGAACACACCGCCCACUGGUCUGCGUAAGGCGGCCGCACUCUGCACUAAACGCGGCAUCAUUCAUUCUGGGAUCUCCGAACCUUCCAUAAACAGUCGGUCGCUUAAGACUCCUGUGAGUUAAAUAAAUAAUAAGAUCCUUACCCCCUUGAACAGAAUGGGAAGACUAAAUAUUGAAAAAUUAGGCAAUUUAGCCCAAGGCGGAGUGUGCAGAGAAAGCACGACCUGGUGAACCAACCCCGUGCGCCGGCAGCAAGAAUUUUUCCUGCGAACAUUUUUAUAAUGGCAGAUUGCCGCGUGGCUUGGCGAGGGCCUUU